rnacentral:lncRNA from 1 species
CGUGUCCUGCUCAAGUGCCUUGUCUGUCUGCCCCAGAUGAUCCCACCUGACUUCAGUCUCUUUGAUGUGGUCCUUAAGAUGAGGAAGCAGCGGCCUGCGGCCGUGCAGACAGAGGUGAACCCUGGGUCUCCUAAUCUUCAGGGACAGUGGCCCACUGCUGUCAUUUGCCCCUGCCUUCCCUUCUUGAUGGUCCCUCACCCCAACAGGAGCAGUACAGGUUCCUGUACCACACGGUGGCUCAGAUGUUCUGCUCCACACUCCAGAAUGCCAGCCCCCACUACCAGAACAUCAAAGAGAAUUGUGCCCCACUCUACGACGAUGCCCUCUUCCUCCGGACUCCCCAGGCACUUCUCGCCAUACCCCGCCCACCAGGAGGGGUCCUCAGGUACCCGGCUCCAUCCCCGGAUUCUU